AUAAACCAGAGGAAACAGCAAUGAUUUCAUUAGACUAGAAGUUAAGACUACAGACACUUUGGACUCUUCAUUCCUCUGAAUCUACAGGUGAAGAAGGGAGUUAUGAUGCUGGUUGUGCUUGAUGCAGUGAUUGAUCCUGAAUACCAAAGAGGUAUUGGACUGCUACCCCACAAUGGGGGUAAGGAAGAGUGCGUUUGGAAUAUAGGCGAUGCCUUAGGCUAUCUUUUACUGUUACCAUGCCCUAUGAUUAAGACCAAUGAAAAUCUACAAUAACUCGAUCCAGACAGUACUACUAAUGACCCAGGCCCUUCAGGAAUGAAGUUUUGGGUCACCUACCAGGGAAGAACUCAUGUCCAGAUAAAAUAGUAUGUAGGUUAGGCAUAUUAAAUGUAUUUUUGACUUAUGAUAUUUUCAACUUACAAUGUGUUUAUCUGUAUGCAGUCCAAUUCUAACUCAAGGAACAUCUGGACAUGAAGCAAAAACUGACAAUUUAAGUUAGAAAUAGACAAUUGGAUAGAAAUAUUUGGAUACAUCAAUAUUCCACUUUUAAUAAUGGGUAGAGCAAGACAAAAAUUAAUAAAGUUAUAGAAUACUUGAAUAGCACCACUAACAAAUUGACCUAAGGGACAUCUAUUGAAUAGUCUACUGAAAAACAGCACAAUAAUCUUUCCAGGCUUAAUAUGGGGUGUCUCAGUCUUGAGUGCUUUGCAUCUUAAAAGGUCAAGGCUGUUUUACACAGUUGACUUUUUAAAACUCGUCACUAGUGCUGGAG
rnacentral:lncRNA from 1 species